rnacentral:miRNA from 1 species
UGUUGCAUGGUGCCUUGUUCUG